GCACUCUUGGUUCAGUGGUAGUAUUCUCGCCUGCCACGCGGGAGGCCCGGGUUCGAUUCCCGGCCAGUGCA
rnacentral:tRNA from 1 species